UACGGAGGGGGCUGGCGUUGUUCGGAAUUACUGGGCGUAAAGCGCACGUAGGCGGCUUUGCAAGUUAGAGGUGAAAGCCCGGGGCUCAACUCCGGAAUUGCCUUUAAAACUGCAUCGCUAGAAUUGUGGAGAGGUAAGUGGAAUUCCGAGUGUAGAGGUGAAAUUCGUAGAUAUUCGGAAGAACACCAGUGGCGAAGGCGACUUACUGGACACAUAUUGACGCUGAGGUGCGAAAGCGUGGGGAGCAAACAGG
rnacentral:rRNA from 1 species